ensembl:lncRNA
CCUGUGGGGCUUCGGCUGCACAGCGAGGGAGGGGCGCGGCUCACCUGAAGGCAGGUGCCUCGCUUUUGCUUAAUUGUCAUCAGGCAGGAGUAAAAGCUCGGAAGGAGGCCGAGGACGCAGGGAUCGGUCUCGACCUGCCUCUGGGGGUGUGGCCAGGCGGCUCCUUGCUGAGGUGCUGUGCACAGUCAGCUCCCAAAGGACUUGGGAGUCCUUUAUGCCUCGGGAAAACAGGACAUGGCAGGCUACGUGACAGGGAAGGUGUGGGUGCUGUGUAUGAGUGUGCUGAUUCAGAUGGCAAGGGGAAACAUGCUUUUUGUAAUCCUACGUGUUCCCCCGUGUCUCUUGUUUUGUCUUUUCUUCUGUGCUUCACAAGGUGCUUCAGGCCUGCUCAACUCUUCCCUCUGUACUUCCUGCUCAGAGUAGAUGAGGUAGCAAGCCCACAAUGAACUACUUGCCUUCAAUGAAGUUAUUCACGUGUCUGAAUCCGAUGCCUGUAUGGAUUAGGCUCGUCCUUGUCUUGUAUACAAAAACUUUCUCAAAACUUUCUCUCCGGUGGCCUGAUCUACAACUGCUUGAAGUCUACCAUUCCAGAAGCAAUUUUUUAAAGAACAAAAGAAACCGUGCCAUCCUGCUGCCACACGCAAAGCACAGAACCAGCAUGUGAGAGAGUGAAACUAGGUGUGCUCUGUGCUCACGGCCCUAAACCGGAGGAAAACCGCAAGCAGGCACAGCACAGCAGGUACCACGUUUGCAGAGGGAGCAAGGACGGGGAGGGGAGGUUUAAUGACAUCGGUGUCAGCAAUGCGCAGUCUGGUACAGCUCCAACUGCUGGCGCCCUAUGGCGCAGGCUGAGAGGAAACCGAGGCGGCGGCCGCGGGGAGCGGCACUGCUUCACCGCGGCUCUCGGGCCGCCCUCCUUCCCCCCCCUCCCCGGCCGGGACAGGGUAGGGCAGCGCCGGGGCCGCACUGCUUGCCCGCCCUGACCUCUAGCCUGGGCGGGCGGCGUCCUUCCUCCUCCUCCAGCUGCUCGCCUGGGAGCACAAAUAUAGGUCGGGCGAGGUGCGAUUCAGCUUGGACGAGUUCAGGAUGCGGUCCUGGUCUUACUGAAGGGAAUUGUAGAGUUCCUGUACCUACAAUUCUUCUUAAGGUCUGUACGGUAAUAUAUAUUUAAUAUGGAAAAUGUGAAUAACGUCAGAAAUAGCUGACAAGGUAAUAUUUUUUAGGUUCUUCUUAAAGCGACCUAUUUGGACAGCUGCCUGACAGCCCCAGUAGAUGUGGCUAAGCAGACUUCUUAUGCACGGGUAGAAGUUGAGCAUUCUUAUAGUCACUGAAACAUUUAUCUCUAAAUUUUUUUUUAUCUGUCUGUUUGAAAUUGAUAUGCAGUUACUUUUUACUCAUCUCAUUAUUAUCUUGUGCUUUCUUAUCUUUGUCUUUUCUUCUACAUCCACCUAUUGUUGUAAGCUCUUCAGGAGAAGAGCUGUCCCUUUGUUAUGUGUGCAUAUGGUGUAUUAUGCUGAGGCCCUGAUUACUACUACAGCAACACUGUUGUUCAAGUAAUAAAUAAUAAUUCUCCUUUGUCA